GGCGGCAAGAUAGCCAUUUAGAGGAACCUGCCCUGUAAACGAUGGACCACGAAUGACUCUACUUUUAUUAGAUAUAAAUUCAGCUUGUAUACCGCUGUUGUCAGUCAGAUUCUUUAGAAAACUUUCGUCCCGUGAAAAAAUCACAGACUUCAAGUAAAGGUGCAGCUUAUAUAAAAGAUAGAGGUGGGUUACAUUUAAAAGAUUAAAACGGAUAAAGUUUUUGAAAUAACUUUUGAAGGCGGAUUUAAUUGUAAAGUUUAAAAAGACUUGAUGAGAGCUCUGUCUUGUGUACACACCGCCCGUCG
rnacentral:rRNA from 1 species